rnacentral:tRNA from 1 species
GUCAGGAUGGCCGAGCGGUCUAAGGCGCCAGACUCAAGAUACAUGUAACGUGUCUUAACCGGAGCAAUGAGUAUUCUGGUCCACGAAUGUGGGCGUGGGUUCGAAUCCCACUCCUGACA